rnacentral:rRNA from 1 species
UACGUAGGGUGCAAGCGUUGUCCGGAAUUAUUGGGCGUAAAGAGCUCGUAGGCGGUUUGUCGCAUCUGCUGUGAAAACUCGGGGCUUAACCCCGGGCCUGCAGUGGGUACGGGCAGACUAGAGUGCGGUAGGGGAGACUGGAAUUCCUGGUGUAGCGGUGAAAUGCGCAGAUAUCAGGAGGAACACCGGUGGCGAAGGCGGGUCUCUGGGCCGUAACUGACGCUGAGGAGCGAAAGCGUGGGGAGCGAACAGG